AGAAAUGAAGCCAAAGACCAUCUCAUUGUAUUGAUUUUUGGAGAGGAGGUCUAAAUAUUGCAGCGUGGGAUAUAUGAGCCAGAGGUCCAUAAUGUGCCCUGCACACUGUGUCUCCUUCUGUGAGAGCCUUGAAGUGGAGCCGACAAGGGCAAUUAGAAGGAAGGUGAUCCUAUCUGUAAACAACAACACUAUGAGGAAGGGAGAGAUGAGACCUUGAUCUCAUUAAUAACACUAUGAUAAAGGAGGGGUAAAGUGCUUUAGUUGAAAGGCUUAACAGAGAUGAAGCACAUUCAUUAUAGUAAAUGGCUUUGUUUCUUAUUAAAGUAGUUGCACAGACGUAUGAUGGUGAACUAUGGGGUCAAAAGACUCCCCUUGCCCCAGUAGUAGCUCUAUGACAGAAGAUUGCAUCUCACCAUAACCUCCCUCAGCCUUCCCCUUCACGUCCAUCCUCUCUUUCUCUUUUCUCCUCCACUCUUCUCUGUGCCUGCAUGAUGUGUGUGCUGUCAAGGAGAGAGAGAGUGAGGUCUGUGGAGGUUCUGGCCCUCAGACAGGGCCGUCUGCUGCAGCCCCACGGCCAGCCAAGCCGCCAAGCAGGAAGUAGAGCUGGGGCUGCUCUCCUCUCCCAGGUCCUGCCUCAUAGAAAUGGCCACCUGUUCAAGGGGCUCUCCCUCCUCUCUCCCUCUCCCCCUGGCCUGGACCAGCUGUGCCAGAGACACGCCCCCCCGCUCUGCCCGCCCAGCAGAGGACACAAGCUGGGACAACAUGCCCCCUAUGCCUGGCAGACGGACAGAGACAGACGGACAGAGACAAACGGACGGACAGAGACGGACGGACAGAGACAGACAGACGGACAGAGACGAACGGACAGACAGAGAGACAGACGGACAGAGCCAGAUGGACGGACAGACAGAGAGACAGACGGACGGACAGACAGAGACAGACAGACGGACAGAGACGGACGGACGGACAGACAGAGAGACAGACAGACAGAGACAGACGGACGGACCGAGACAGACAAGCGGACAGACACGGGCGGACGGACGGACGGACAGACAGACAGAGGCAGGCAGGCGGGCAAAUCAAGGCACACUAUGUACCCAGCAAUGAGGUUGUCUCUUGUAGACAAAGGUUAAAUCUUAAUGGGCUGUAGUAUGAGCACAGGUUUCAUAAACAUUUUGAGAUCAUGAUACUUAGUGUGAUACACAAUACUGAGGAACAGGGGGAGGGGAAGAUAAACAGCAGACAGUAGAGUUAAUAUACAGUUCCUAUAAUAUACAGUUCCUGAGGUUCAUCUCACAUAUGCCUAUGUGUUUCUCUUUUCCUCUCCACGGGAACACUCUGGCAUCGUUCCCCGGCCAAGCCUAUCAGAUGGCCGUGUCUUGGCAGGUGAUACUGCACAUGUGCAGCACACUCUGCAUGGCAACAAUGCCACUUCAGCAGAUAACGGUGUCCCCUGUCCUGAAGGAAGUUCACACCGUCUGUCUGGUGCCACCUGCUGAGGUGACGGAUGGGUGUGAAGAGCAAAACAUCUGGACUGAGGAUGUGCGGCCUCCUGGCUGCUGAUGCUGCUGCUGCUGCCCAGCUGUGUGUGGCCUGCCUGGGCCAGCCUGGCCUCUGAUUACUGGCCAUCUGCAGCAGCAGGAGCCACCCUGAGGACAGACAGAUCUCUAACCCCUGCCUAAAGGCCAGCUCAUCUCUGUGGCUGAGCUUUCCUGUCUCCCUUUCUCUCCUCUCCCUACUUUUUCUCUCUUCUUUUUUUCUCCAUUGCUGUGUCUCUUCUCUUCUUUGCUGUCACACACAGGUCUGAACCCUGGUGAUGAAGAGAGGGGAGGGGAGAGAGGGAGAUGGAGAGGGGGUUACUGAAAGGUGUCACAUGCGCUGAUGUGAUAAGGGUGCCAGGUAGAGAUAACCAAGCAUCCUUCGUCACUAUGGAGCCAAGUACAGCCUGUCCUCUUGAGUUAAAACAGGAACACUCGCACACAAGUGCACACACACACACACACAGUCACACACACACACACACACACACACACACACACACACACGCAAACAAUCUACAAGUUCAUUAUCCAUCUGUGGAAUGAUAAGAGCUAGAUUUCUUAUAAUAGCCAUGCUAUUGAGCUCUGGAUACUACUUCACCGUAGUAAAAACAGGAACCAGGGAGAAUACAUAACUUAACCAAUCAGAAUGGAUGCCUGAACUUAAUUAACCCUAUCCUAAACCUUACUCCUUAACUUAACCAAUCGCAGUUAAUGCCUGUACUGAUAACCAAUCGGAAAUGAAUGCCUGAACUUGACCCUUUCUGUUAUAACCCUAUCCCAAACCUUAACCCAGUCAGAGUGAAUGCCUGAACCGUAGAGGUGUUUCUGUGAGCCUAAAUCGUCUGGAGCUCAUGUGGGAGGGGAGCUGUGUGUCUAAAUACAGGACGUCGGGAGAGGAAGUCAGUUUACUAGUCAAAAAUAGACGUUUGUCCAAGGACGUCAAGACCCGAGACUGUGAGAUCUUGUUGACACUGAAACUCGAUGUACUAGUGGUGACUAACGUGUCAACAUGAUCCCACCUGCUCAGCGGUGAGAUCGUUAUGGUGGGAACGGGCGGUGCCAGAUUACUGUGACCUGCAGCCCCCCUCCAGAUGGACACUCUCCCAGCUGGCUAACUCCUUUUAAGGAGCUUCAUUAUUACCAUGCCGCUCUUUGGUUAGAUUACACACACACAGGGAUGUACACGCACCCGCGCACACACACGCACACACAGGGAUGUACAGUACACAAGCACAUGCAUACAAACAACACCCAUACACACAUUCCUUUGUGCCCACCUCCUUGCCAUUUCAUAGGAGGCAGUAGGGAGAAGAGGGGGC
ensembl:lncRNA